CGGGUGAGUAACACGUGGGUAAUCUGUCCUCGACAUCGGGAUAGCCCGGGGAAACCCGGAUUAAUACCGAAUAGCCCAUCCGCUUUUCGGAGCGGCUGGAAAAGGUAGCUUUGGCCUCCGGUCGAGGAGGAGCCCGCGGCGGAUUAGCUUGUUGGUGAGGUAAUGGCCCACCAAGGCGACGAUCCGUAGCUGGUCUGAGAGGACGAUCAGCCACACUGGGACUGAGACACGGCCCAG
rnacentral:rRNA from 1 species